rnacentral:rRNA from 1 species
GACAGAGGCCUCAAGCGUUAGGCGGAAUCACUGGGCUUAAAGCGUGUGUAGGCGGAUCGUUAAGUGCCUUGUGAAAUCCCACGGCUUAACUGUGGAACGGCUGGGCAUACUGGCGGUCUUGAGCCAUCUAGGGGCGACUGGAACAAACGGUGGAGCGGUGAAAUGCGUAGAUAUCGUUUGGAACGCCAAUGGUGAAAACAGGUCGCUGGGGUUGUGCUGACGCUGAGACACGAAAGCCAGGGGAGCAAACGGG